rnacentral:lncRNA from 1 species
UUUUUUUUUGUUCUGACAAACUUGAAAAACCAUUGCGAACUGAUAAAAAAUGCUUUUCAAAAAAUCUUUAUAUACUGUUCAUUUUUCUGAAAGAAGUAGAAAAAAGAAUUGGACAAAAGAAAAGCAGGAAUGAGAGAACCGGAAGGAAUAGCGAAAACCAAACAAAACCCCGGUUCCUAGAAAAAACUGCAAUAAAAACCAAUGUAAGAUGCACAAAAUAAUCGAUGAAGAAAACCAAACAGUAUUGCGCCAGCCCGUGUUUGGUGCGGUUGUAGGCGAGCAUGACUUCGGACUCGCACUAGGCCAGAUAAGAAGGACCUUGAUAAGUUCCACACUUGUGGCAUGAACACAUGGCAACUCCGAACAUUUUAUUUGACAAGUUUAGUGACGCAAGGAUGACAACUUUAGUCAUCAAGCACGACAACUUUCCUUUGGGUUGGCAAGUUUUAGGGUUUUUUUUUCCUUUUCGGAUGACAACUUAGUUGUAAGAAACGUCAGUACCGGGGUGCUUUGUGCCACAUGUGUGGCACUUAUCAUUUGGAAAAAAGAAACCAGACAUAGCCUUUCCGCUUCUUGUCCACCUCAGCGACAGUGGAUUGGUUGGUUCCAUUGAAUCCUUUGCAAAUAUGAUUGAACUCUAGAUAUGAAGGCGAAACCGACGUCAGAUUGAUGUGAAAGGUUAGUAUUUGCGCACAUGUGAUUAACAAGCUAGAGGGGAAUUUGAAACAAAGAUUGCAAGCGUCCAAGAAGAAGAAGAAGAAACAUCUAUCCGUGUAAAGUGUAACAAAGGGAGCAGUACGUAUGUGGAAUAUUCUUGUCAUUGUAUUUGAAUUUUCUUAGCCAUCCAAGAUUAGAAUAAAUAAUUGCUAACUAGUAGGUGUGCGCGUGCGUAGAAUGGUGACCCCCACACGGACGCAAAGGGGAGACAACACACCUAAGGCUAGGUAGCACCUAGCUUCACACCACUGCAUAUUGCCUGCACGAAAAACUCAAGGCCAGCAACAAGGCUGCUUGAUCGUGGGACCAUGAAAAGCAUUUCCAUAACACAUUUCGUUGUUACCUCUCGAGCAUACGUGUAGCACACACCAAGGUUUACAAUGUCUGCAACAUGCAAAUUGCGGGCCUUAUCGACCAAUUUCAGACAUAUUUAUUUAUUUGGAUUUUCAAAAUUCUCUAAAUUUAAGUCUUGCUGGAAUUUGGCCGAAUAAUUCAAGGGUAAAUAUAUUCCGGCGCCCACCGAGGAAUCUACUGGAAUUUCGUCAAAAUUUCGGUCGAUGUCUGUUUACGUACAGUACAUACGGACGGACGGACAAACACAAAAGAAGAAUUGGUCCAUGUGAUGGGAAGAAGAAAAGAGAAAAUGAAAUGGGCUCUUGCAUUGGUAGUAACUUAGCAAGGUGGAUAAUGUUGUUGCAUGCUUGUGAAACUUGGAAUCCUUUUUGAAAAUCAACAUGAGAGAGUAGGUUGAGAUGUUGAGGUAAGUAACUAACUUACUUGCAUGCCCUACCUUCCUUUUUGAAUUUUGAGCAAGCCGCUAGCUUUGCUUCCACUGUUGGAAGUCCCCAAGCACAAAACUCAUGCACCCUACGUCCACCCCAAGCAACCCCUCUCCUCUCCAAGAAAUAUUCUUCCUCUUCUUCUUCUUCUUCUUCCCUCUCAGCUCGUCUCUCUAGCUUAGCAUGCAUGCGUGCUCCCGCCAUUUGAUCGUCAAAGCUUAUAUAUACACGGUACACCAGGCUCCUCCGACAAGACAAGAUCAUCCCUUCUCCCAUCCUUGCCCUCCUCCAUUGAUCCAUUCCUUCAAGCAAGAAACAAACAAACAAACAGAGCUCCACCGCCGAGAAACCUCCACCAAUGGCGACCACCAAGAAGAGGGAGAUGGUGUUCUUCGACGUGGAGGCGGCGCAGUCCCCGUCGCCGCCCGGCGAGUGCCGCCUGCUGGAGUUCGCUGCCACCCUCGUCUGCCCGCGCCGCCUCGUCGAGGUCUCCAGCUACUCCACCCUCAUCCGUCCCGACGACGUCGCCAACGACGGCAGUGUCCACCUCCCCUCCUCGGCCCCCUCGUUCGAGGACGUCUUCCCGGACAUCUUCGAGCUGCUGGACGGCCGCGUGUGGGCGGGCCACGGCAUCCGGCGCUCGGGCUGCCUGCGGGUGCGCGAGGCCUUCGCCGCCUUCGGCCUGCCCGCGCCGGAGCCCGUGGGCGUCGUCGACUCGCUCGACGUGCUCCUCGCGCAGGGCAGCUUCGGGCGGGCCGUCGCCGGGGACGACGGUCAGGACGAUGAGGCGGCGUCGGCGGCCCUGGCGGAGCACUUCGGGAUCGGCGCGCGGCGGGCGCGGGGGCUCCGGUGCCUGGACGGCGCCCGCGUGAGCCUCGAGGUGCUCAAGCACUGCGCCGGCGUGCUGCUGCUCGAAUCCAGCCUCCGCGGCGACGUGCCCGCCGGCGCCAGCCGCAGGAGCACGCCCACGCCUAGCAGCAGCAACAACAACAACACGUUGGAGAAGGCGUUUGCCCGCGCGUCGGCCAAGACGACGACGCCGGCGAAGGCGGCCACCGCUCCUACUCCUCCGUCUCCUGCUGCUGCUUCUCCGGCGGCUGUUCAGAAGGUGAGUACGAGCACGGGGAAGAGGGACAGCACGGGGAAGGUGGUGGUGGUGGUGAAGAAGGGAGCGACAGCGGCAACUGUGACGACAACGACGGCUACCGGAGGUCGCCGGGUGCGGCCGCCGGCGCCGCCGUUCAGCAUGAUCCUCAGGCACUCGAGGGCCGUCAUCAGAUGAGAUGAUGAUGAUACAACCAAUCAUCUCAUCUCACCACUGAUUAUUGCACAGCUUAAUUGUAGUUCUGAUCCAUUAAUUUAUUCACAUUUGCAUUCCUUCGUUCAUUUGUAAAUUGUACACACCUGUAAAUUGGCUAGGCUGUGUUCAUAGUUAUCCUUAACUCAGGUUUAGUUUGACAGCAAUGAUUGUUGUAACCAUCACCAUCAUCAUCAUGUUGUAAAAAGACAGUCCAUUUCAUUUUAUUUGUAAAUAAAUGAUGCAUUUCAUUUCAUUUGCCUCAAUCUAUGAAUAGCAAUUCAUCAUUCAUCUCUGGGUUUCUUGUUUCUGUUCUGUCUGAGUGGUUAGAUCAGGCUAUUCACAUGGAUUGUAUCUAGAGUAUUUUAUCCCCUUUGAUUCCUACCAUAAGAAUCGAGCCUAGAAAAAACAAGAAGCAAGAACAAGAACACGAAUUUGAGGCAAUUGUUGUUGUAACCAUCAUCAUCAAGAUGUUCUUCUCCCUCAAUUGGAGCAUCACCAAUUUGCUAAUACUGUAUUAUUAUUGCAAGAUGAGAUGUAACCAGUUCUUGUACAGGAGUAACAAGAAUAGCAAUUCAUCAUUCAAUUAUUGGUUAUGUUUUGUUAGGCUAUUCAUAUGGAUUGUAUCUCUUGAUGAUUCCUUCCUGGAGGUAGUUUUGUUUAUUUGAUGGUGAUUCCUAGGACAAGAAAAUAUUGAACAGAGACAAAACAAAAAGCAAGAACAAGAACAAACGUCUGUCUCAUCUUUGUCCAUCACCAUCGGCAUCAGAUUCAUCCACACCAACUAGAAUUGAGCAGCAUCCCAUCAACAUCCAAAGGAAAGACAACAAGAAUUCUUCAUCUCAUCUCACCCUUGCUUGGGACCAAACAAAACAACACUCCAUAUACAUAUAUAAAGUUUCAUUUCACUACACAUCAGCAUCAGCUUUGCAACAAACACCCUCCAAAGGGCAACAAGAAUUGAUAGUCUCUUGGCCAACAACACUUUGAUUUCAAAAGGAUACUAACAAGGCCAGACAAAGUACAAUUCAAGGGCAACACAAGAUUGUCCAUCUUUUGGCCCACAACACCUCAUUUGCUACAAUAAGAGGUUAACCAAAGCCAGACAAGGUACAAUUCAUGUUACAGCAGUAUUGUGCAUACAGAUUGGACCAAGUUCAUCUAAAAAUAAGGGUCCGUGAAAAUUACAUCGAGCCAAGAAGUGUGCACACAAAAGCCCCACCACAGGCUGCAAACACAAAAUGAACCAGGGCGGCUGAUGCUGCCUAAGAACUGUGUAAAGAAAACUAUAUGAUGACAGCUGAAUGUCAACAUCAAAAUUCACAGAUAGAUGCUAUGAUAAUACCACAGGAACAAAGAGGAUUUAAUAUAAUAAUAUAAUAGUUUCUUAAUUAUGCAUCUGAAUGCAGGGCAGACGGUAUUUACAGACUCUGAACACACCAUGGACUGGGACACUUGCUAGACUCUGAACACACCCAUGGACUGGGGACACUUGCUAGACACAAGACACACACACAUUACACAAGAUGUAGAUACAGGACACAACGGACGGGAGACCUCGCCUAUGUACAUAACCGAAAGCUCUCUGCGAUUGCGCAGUUUCAAAAGCGACAACCAGGCGGGCGACGAUGAGGACUCAACUCAACUCAACUAGAUAAACUCUGACUCGAAUAGGUACUACUAGCUUAGCUUAGGAUUAAAGGGACUAGCUGUAUCUCGGGGGCGGAAAAUUUACAUGUUGGGGGGGUGGGGUGCGGGUGCAAAAUGGCGCUAAUGGUCAAUGGUGAAUUGGUGGUAUGGCGAAAAUGCUCUCAGGCAAAGCCUUCAAUCCUCACUUUCGGGCUACUACUCGCCCCGCAAGACGGAGAGCCUACUUCAGCUCUUCCACCAAGCAUCUUGCUGAAUGGGCUCCCUAGAGGAGAAAAACAGGGGGUAUUCCUACCAAACUGCGGAUCAUUCACAAUGGGGUUGUUAGUGCGGACGG